CGGGCGAGCCCGGCCCGGGGGGUCCCGCACCCGCGGGGCUGCGCCGGGCGCCGUCGGGCGCCGGUCCCGGGGGCUGCGAGCGGCUGUCGCGGAAGGGGGGGGGUGGGGGGGGCUCGAAAUGGGGCCCUGGGGCCGGGUUUCCUCCUGCCCCGGUUCUCGCUGCGGAGCCGCUUUGAGCUGCCGAGCCCGGCGGGGCCUGCGCGGCCCCGGGGAGCUCCCGGCAGAGGCCUCCCCGCGGGCCGAGCUCGGAGGCCCGGCGGAGCUGCGGGGCUCGCCGCGGCCGUGCCGCGGGGCCCGGGCUUCUCCCGCGGCGGCGUGAGGCUGGAGCUCGGCGCCGACUCCCCCGGAGCCGGAGCCCCGAAGUUUCUCCGUCUCGUUUCAACCGUUUCAUUUUUUAUUUUUUUAUUAUUUUUUUUUUUUUGCCUUGGCCUCUCAACCGCUGGCGACGGAGGCCAAAACUGCUGCUUCACGGCGUGCGUCCGAGACAUCGGGGGUGCUCUCAGCGGCCUGGAAAACCUUCGCUCCCGUCAAGCCGAGCGCGUUCUCUGCCUGCUGGGGAGACCGAAAAAAAAAAGAAAAAGCCGCGGGGCCGUCUGUGGCUGAGGCUGCUUUCAUCUGGGCAACCCGUGGAAACGUCGCGCCCCGAAACGCGGGGUGACGGCCCCGGGCUGGACGCUGCUGCCGCCGCCCCUGAGGGGGGCUCGGGCUGUUUCGCCCCUUGCCGUCUCGGAGGAGGCGGCUGGGGUGUCGCGGGUCAGCGGUGCCGGCCGGCCCGUAUUUUCUUUAGGGCUCUAAUUCUUCUGCUCCUCCCUUCUUCCACCAAGCGUUCCUGUGCACCUUUCCCUUCCGAUGUGGUUUCCAGCACUUUCUCCGUCCUCCAGACCUUUUCCAGACUUGCCGAGAGUCCUUGUGAUGCCGCCGUGGAUUAUGGAGACAGCUGCAGGGGAGAGUGGAGGACCAGAAAAGCCCUGGUUUCCCAGGUGCACUUGAAACCCUGA
rnacentral:lncRNA from 1 species